rnacentral:rRNA from 1 species
GUCGAGCGGUAGCACAGAGAGCUUGCUCUCGGGUGACGAGCGGCGGACGGGUGAGUAAUGUCUGGGAAACUGCCUGAUGGAGGGGGAUAACUACUGGAAACGGUAGCUAAUACCGCAUAACGUCGCAAGACCAAAGUGGGGGACCUUCGGGCCUCAUGCCAUCAGAUGUGCCCAGAUGGGAUUAGCUAGUAGGUGGGGUAAUGGCUCACCUAGGCGACGAUCCCUAGCUGGUCUGAGAGGAUGACCAGCCACACUGGAACUGAGACACGGUCCAGACUCCUACGGGAGGCAGCAGUGGGGAAUAUUGCACAAUGGGCGCAAGCCUGAUGCAGCCAUGCCGCGUGUGUGAAGAAGGCCUUCGGGUUGUAAAGCACUUUCAGCGGGGAGGAAGGCGAUAAGGUUAAUAACCUUGGCGAUUGACGUUACCCGCAGAAGAAGCACCGGCUAACUCCGUGCCAGCAGCCGCGGUAAUACGGAGGGUGCAAGCGUUAAUCGGAAUUACUGGGCGUAAAGCGCACGCAGGCGGUCUGUCAAGUCGGAUGUGAAAUCCCCGGGCUC